GGAGUCGGCCAGACAGUCGCUAUCCGGUUUCGGCCGGGUAGAGGAAAGUCCGGGCUCCACAGGGCACGGUGCCAGGUAACACCUGGGGGGCGCGAGCCUACGGAAAGUGCAGCAGAGAGCAGACCGCCUAAGCGCGCCGCCGUUUCGACGGUGCGCCGGUAAGGGUGAAAGGGUGCGGUAAGAGCGCACCGCGCGGCCCGGUAACGGGAAGCGGCAUGGUAAACCCCACCUGGAGCAAGGCCAAAUAGGGAUCCAACGGUGCGGCCCGCACCGGAUCCGGGUAGGCCGCUAGAGGCACGUGGUGACGCGCGUCCCAGAUGAAUGACUGUUCACGACAGAACCCGGCUUAUCGGCCGACUCCUUAU
rnacentral:RNase_P_RNA from 1 species